AAGGCAUGAUAAGAAUAUUUCCUAAACAAUUCUUUAAAUAUUUUCCAUGAUUCAUAAAUAGAUUCAACGUCUACUAGGCAAAAGAUGCGAUGUCAUUUCUAAGUUU